UACGUAGGGUGCAAGCGUUGUCCGGAAUUAUUGGGCGUAAAGAGCUCGUAGGCGGUCUGUCGCGUCGGCUGUGAAAACUCGGGGCUCAACUCCGAGCCUGCAGUCGAUACGGGCAGACUAGAGUGCUGUAGGGGAGACUGGAAUUCCUGGUGUAGCGGUGAAAUGCGCAGAUAUCAGGAGGAACACCGGUGGCGAAGGCGGGUCUCUGGGCAGUAACUGACGCUGGAGGAGCGAAAGCGUGGGGAGCGAACAGG
rnacentral:rRNA from 1 species